GACGGGGUGAGUGUGGCAGUCGACUGGUGGCUGUAGGAGUUGGCAGGAGAGGAAGCGCUGUUCCUCUCAGGGGGGGAAAGCCCGUUCUCACAGCCCUCCAUCAGGCAAUGAACACCACAACGGUCCAGAAAACUCCACCCUCUCCUGGUGACCAGGUGAUGUCACUGUCUUCAGACAGCGUGAGGAGAUCCCUCAGUAGGAUCAAUGCACUAUAGAUGUGGUGUCAUCAUGAACUCACUGAUGACGACAGACACCGGCUGACUUCUGGUGCCGACGCCGGCGCUGGUCACUGCCGCCACCUCCACCUGGUACAGGACGGCGGGGAGCAGCCCCCUCAGCACCGUGGAGAGGAUGUUUCCAUCCACCGUCUUGUUGACAUAGUAACGUGUCUGGUUCUCAAUGCCGCUGCCCACACACCAAACCUGUUCACACAGUCAACAGUCACGUUCAUUACAAGAGUCUCUUCUAUGGGUGAACCAACACUUUGAUCAGGCAAGACUCUUCCUUCCGCUCUCACUUGAUCUGGUGACUGAAUGAAAAUAGUUUGAAGUCAUGCCACUCAUACCCUGUACUCCUGGAUGAUGCCAUUUUGCAUGUCAGCGGGUGGAGGCUCCCAGGAGACGCUGAUGCUGGAGCUGUUGCUGAGCUUCACGGUGACGCCUCUGGGCGGGGCGCUGGGGGCUGACAGAGGUGGGACAGCAUCAACAGAUUGAACAGUGUGGCUGUGAAGCAGGUUUUAAAGAAAACGCCUGGUUUCCAGAAACCUUUCCUGCUGUGACAAGUAAACAAGAAGCUUAAAAGUGCUUCUAGUUGAAAACACAAAACUCCUCCCCCUGCAGCAAAAAGGGGGAGGAGCAAACAGGAUCCUGAUGAAGGUGUUGUGGGCUUGCAGCAGAAGCACCUGAACGCCUCGAUGAUGUAGGAGGUGACGGCGGCUCCACCCUCGUGUGCGUUGGGUUGCCAGAAGUGAGGUUUUGGCUGUAAAUCUCUGACACAGACGUACCUUUGACAGUGAGCGCUCCACUCCAGCUGCUCUCUCCGCUGGAGCUGGAAGCCACACAAGUGUAAACGCCGGAGUCCAGUUCCUGGAAGUGGGAGACGUGGAGCAUUGGUGAGAUUUGAGGCCCAAAGAUGUGAUGAUGACAUCUGAAAGUGAAAUAGAGCUGGAAUCAGAGGAAAGACAAGCAAACACAACAAAGAGCAAGCUCAUCUUUGAUGGAUUCCUUCUGCACAGGUUGGAUAAUAUCUGCAGUCUCAUCAGAGGAACCUCAGCAUAGCAGCUGUUUAAAGAACUGCUCCUGCUGUGGACCUUUUAGCUGCAGUCACUUCACUCCUGAGUGAAUGGCAGAUCCUCAGUGCUCCUAUUUGAAGUUGAAUCUAAAAUUCAAGCUGUUGGCUUUUAUGCUCCUUGUCUGAUUCCUUCACGGCAUUGGAGAAGAGCUGGAGGAACCAUCAAAGAACAGAAUUUUAAUGACCAGCAAGGCGUGCUGAAAUUUUCCAGGCUCCUACUUAACAUUCUGGACAGACGGAGAGCAGAUGUAAUUAAAAGAAUUGACUCUACAAGGCUAAACAAACGACAGAGGUCUGCAGCCAGAGGACUAUCAUCAUGAUCUCCGGAUCCUGCUUUUACCUGUGCACCUCUCGGUCAGAUGGUUCUAGUGAAAUCUUAACAUUGGAGCCACAGAAACCUUCAAAGUCUGUUAGAAUAAAAACACAAGACUCUGGUGACCCAAGUACACCUCAGAAACAUCCACCAAUCAUCACAGAUCCACAGCUUUUCAAGUCUUUUUCUAUGCGGACUUGUUCUGACGUGUUCUUUCCAUUUUUUGUAAACUAGACAGUUUGCCUUUGACAGUACAGGGAAAUGCCAUUUUUAAUGAAAGCCUUGGGUAUGAAAGACUGGACAAAGAACUUUUUUAAACUUUCAGCUCAAAGAAACGAGGUAAUGGUUUUUACUUCUGUUUGAAUCAUGAUCAGCCCAGAAGGUGCACUCACUGCUGUGAGGCAGCUGUGUGCUAGUAAAGCAAAGACAACAACCUUUGCUGACAUUAAAGGAGAAUUCAUGGUUUCACCAACCUCUGACCCUUUUCAUCCAGGUGAGCAAUGAUGACAUGAAGGUUAAACAGUCAAAAAUGGUUUAACUGUCAUUCUGACUUUGACAGAGCUGCCGGUUCUAAUUCAUUGGUUGUUUUCUGUGGGAGUUCUAGAAAUUCCAAAAAAGUGUUUCAUGUUUGGGUUAGGGUGGAAUGAAUCCACCACAAAAACAAUCACCCUUCCUUUCACUCAGACUGUCAGUGAAGCCUUAUUUCCCCCCAUCAAAACCCUAAUACAUAAUGCAGCGCGUGCCCAGCACAAGCUAUCAUGACUAAUGACUUGGGGGUCGCAGUGCACAGCGGGCCCCUCUCGUGGAUCUGUGGGCUGGCUCAUCGCUAAAGCCGACAGAAGAAUUACUCAGGCCUAAGUGGCUUGUCAGCGUGUCCUGCAGAAUGCGGAAAAGGUCAGGAUGGGUGGCUCUGGUCCUCAUCCGGCAUUCUUCACCGUUCCUACUGGCUCUGUAGACGCUGAUCUUCAGUCGACCUGAGCAUCUGUCUGAGAUGAGAGAAAGCCAGAGCCCCAGAGGGGGAGGUCUGAUCGGAGAGCAGUGUCUGCACAGAAGGCAGGGUGGGACAUGAACAGCUGGGACAGAUGACCAUUAAUCAACCAGCAGUCCUUGGUGCUGAGCUGCAAGUGCACAAGGCCACAGUAUAAGAGGAAAAGGAGAGAGAGAAGAAGCUGCUCCAAAGUGAUAGCAUUUUCAUCAUAAGGCAAAGAUUUAAAGCAUUCCUCACAACUGAUGAGAAUCCCCCCCCCCCCCCCCCCCCCCAGCAAACAAAAGGUUGAUCUCAGGUACAUGGAAGUUAGAUGAGUGCCAGGAACACAGCUGAGCUGGAUUUCCCCCUUUAAUCGGAUCCCUCCCAUUCAUUUACUCAGUUGCAUUCAGUCCUCCUCACCGUCCUUAGACUGCACUUGGAGCCACUCCCCCCUCUCUUUUCUAUGCCACCAUCCUAGCAACCAUUUAACAAUAGACACACACACAUCCAGACACACAGUCAGUCUGUUCAGGGCAUCUUGACACCAGCACCAGCAUCAGUGCGACUGGCAGAAAUCCCAGGAUAACGGCUUCCAUUUCUUCCUAGGGCAAAGGAACCAUAAAACCAUCUGCCCCUCUCCUGGAGUCCUGAGGAAGUCUGCUCAUUGAUUCUGGUUUAUACAGACAAAAAUGCCUUUUUAUUUUAUAAUAAUUUUUUGUAGUUGAAGUUUUCUGUGCUCUCUUUGGAUUAUUAUGUGAUGAAUCAGAAGAAGCAGAAUGUGCAGAGCCCAUUAAGAAAGAUACAGGAAAAAUGUUUUCAGUGCAAAUAAAACUUUUCUGUCUGAUGAAAUAAAAGCAAAAUAAAUGAAUAAGAUAAAAACAAAGAGAUAAAUACUUUAUGCUUCUUUUCUUUUUUCUUAACAGGGGAAUAGUUGAUUUCACCUGUUUAAUUAACAAUGUUAUAGAAACACUAAGACUUCACUAGAAAAGAGAAGCUGGAGUGCUGCAGCCACACAUGAUCUACUUGAUGUCUUUGGUAUCAUGACUCAGAACAGUAGACUCAUCGUGUGUCUGGUCACAUGGAUUUAGUAUUUCUACAGUUGUUCUUGUAACAUUUUAGAGGACUUUCUUUAGUUGUCUUUAACUUUUUAAAUGCUGGAUUGUGAUGCAGGGUGACAGAAAAUGACCUAUGAAGGAAAUGAAAUUGCCAUGAAUGACAGUUGAGCAAAUACCUGAAAUGAACAAAAACAGAGGGUUUGAAUCUUCGUCUUGCUGCAGGUUUUCAUAAAUGCAUUUUCACAAAGACUCCCUACCUUCCUUGGGUGGGGGGCGGGGUAUAGGGAAAACUGUCGCCGUGAGGAACUGCGUUUAUCUUUCCAACUUAAGUCCGUAAAUACCAUUUGCUUCCAUGUUUCAGAUCAAACUAGACCCGAGUCUGCAGGGAAGGAACAUCUGCAUAGUAUUUGACAGCUUCAGAUGUGAUCCCCAGCCUGAGCACCUUCAGAAUAAUGCACUCAGCUGUCAAGUCACUGCCUCCCAUCCCCACACAAAAUAAACGCAGCAUGAAAAUGCAUUUCAGGCUUCUGACUCCCA